AGUAACGGCGAGUGAACAGGGAAAAGCCCAAAUUUGUAAUCUGGCACUUUUUACAAGUGUCCGAGUUGUAAUUUGUAGAGCUGUUAUCCGUACUGGACCAUGUACAAGUCUGUUGAAAAGCAGCAUCAUUGAAGGUGAAAAUCCUGUAGAUGAUAUGGACUACCAGUAUAUUUGUGAUACGGUUUCUAAGAGUCGAGUUGUUUGGGAAUGCAGCUCAAAGUGGGUGGUAAAUUCCAUCUAAGGCUAAAUAUAAGUGAGAGACCGAUAGCAAACAAGUACCGUGAGGGAAAGAUGAAAAGAACUUUGAAAAUAGAGUUAACAGUACGUGAAAUUGCUGAAAGGGAAACGUUUGAAGUUAGUUUUGUAUUCGUUGGAUCAGCUUCGCAAGGAGUGUAUUCUGAUGAUAAGCAAGUCAACAUCAGUCUAUGAGUGUUGGAUAAGGGUUUUGAGAAUGUAGCAAUUUAAUUGUGUUAUAGCUUGAGACUUGGAUACGAUGCUUUGGAUUGAGGAACGCGUAGUAAGCUUUGAGCGGAUUAGAAAGGAUCUCCUUACUAU
rnacentral:rRNA from 3 species